rnacentral:rRNA from 1 species
AUUGAACGCUGGCGGCAGGCCUAACACGUGCAAGUCGAGCGGUUGAGGUAGCUUGCUACCGAUGCAGCGGCGGACGGGUGAGUAAUACAUGGGAAUCUGCCUGGUAGUGGGGGACAACGUUUCGAAAGGAACGCUAAUACCGCAUACGCCCUACGGGUGAAAGCGGGGGAUCGCAAGACCUCGCGCAAUUGGAGCGGCCG